UUGGGCAGGGUGUGUGCAGUCUGCUCCCAAGAUUUGUUCUUGGAAGCUUCCUUCCCAGGAGCUAGGGAGAAGCAGAAGGUAGGGUUCACUGGGCAGAGCACGGGGCUCCCGUGGCUGAGGUGCCAUAUUCCCUGGCCGGUGGGGUGUACACAGAGGCAGAAGUGUCCUGAAGCUCUGCCUUUGCUCCCCCUGCUCUGUGCCAUGGGCCAGUCCCUUUCUGUUCCUGCACUGCUACUACCCCUUUCCUGAAAAUAGGCGAUCUAAGCACCUGUGCUGGGCUGCUUGGCAGUGAUGAACCCGCUGGCAUUCCAGACUUCCAUGCACAGGGACCAGGCAUGGAGCCCUGUAAGACCCUGCAGAGGGAGGAGAGAACCUUGCUGCACCCUGUGUCAUGCUGUUGCAGGAACCUCAGAGCUUCAGAUCCUUGCUGUACCCUGCACCAUGGAGUUGCAGGAACCUCAGAGCUUCAUCACCACCCGCCAGUGAGGUCGUCCCGGAUUUCUGAGAUCGCCCUUGGCUGAUCUCCUGUAAGGCGAUUCUCUCCAGCUCCAUCCAAGACUGAGCAACGGAGAUGCCUCCAUUCUUCUUAACAGCUGAGUAGUAUUGCGCAGGGUAUAGAUGCCACCACUGUCUUAGCCGUUCUUCUGUCAUUGGAAACCUGGGUUGCUUCCAAGAUUUAAGACCAGGAGCAGCCCUGCUCCAGGAGAGACCCUUGAUAGGAAGCAACGCAUAGGGAGUCGGGAGGUAGUGCAGCGGGUUAAGCACAUGUGGCGUGAAGUGCAAGGACCGGCGUAAGGAUCCCUGUU